rnacentral:rRNA from 1 species
AGAGUUUGAUCAUGGCUCAGGAUGAACGCUAGCUACAGGCUUAACACAUGCAAGUCGAGGGGCAGCAUGGUCUUAGCUUGCUAAGGCUGAUGGCGACCGGCGCACGGGUGAGUAACACGUAUCCAACCUGCCGUCUACGUCUUGGCCAGCCUUCUGAAAGGAAGAUUAAUCCAGGAUGGGAUCAUGAGUUCACAUGUCCGCAUGAUUAAAGGUAUUUUCCGGUAGACGAUGGGGAUGCGUUCCAUUAGAUAGGUAGGCGGGGUAACGCCACCUAGUCAACGAUGGAUAGGGGUUCUGGAGACGGAAGGUCCCCCAGAUUGGAACUGAGACACGGUCCAAACGUCCGUACGGGAGGCA